UAGCUCAGCGGUUAGAGCUGCCGACUCAUAAUCGGUAGGUCGCUGGUUCGAAUCCAG
rnacentral:tRNA from 1 species